rnacentral:tRNA from 1 species
GGGGAAUUAGCUCAAAUGGUAGAGCGCUCGCUUAGCAUGCGCAAAGUAGCGGGCUCAAUGCCCACAUUCUCCA